rnacentral:snRNA from 1 species
GGAUGUGAGGGUGAUCUGGCUGCAACAUCUGUCACCCCACUGAUUGCCAGGGUUGAUUCAGCUGAUCUAGCUGGCUAGGCAGGUGUCCCCAUCCUCCCUCACUCCAAGUGUGUCUGCUGUGUGCUUGGUCGAAGAGGACAACCUUCUCCAAAUAGAGGAGGACCGGUCUUCAGUCAAGGGUAUAGGAGUAGCUGCGCUCCCCUGCUAGAACCUCCAAACAAGCUCUCAAAUACAUCAGUGUAGCAGAAAGUUUCCAUUUUAAAUGCAUCCAGUCUUUUUAUACCUUAUAUUAAUU